rnacentral:rRNA from 1 species
GUCGUAACAAGGUCUUUCGUUGGUGAACCAGCGGAAGGGAUCAUUACCGAGUUUACAACUCCCAAACCCCUGUGAACAUACCUAUACGUUGCCUCGGCGGAUCAGCCCGCGCCCCGUAAAACGGGACGGCCCGCCCGAGGACCCCUAAACUCUGUUUUUAGUGGAACUUCUGAGUAAAACAAACAAAUAAAUCAAAACUUUCAACAACGGAUCUCUUGGUUCUGGCAUCGAUGAAGAACGCAGCAAAAUGCGAUAAGUAAUGUGAAUUGCAGAAUUCAGUGAAUCAUCGAAUCUUUGAACGCACAUUGCGCCCGCCAGUAUUCUGGCGGGCAUGCCUGUUCGAGCGUCAUUUCAACCCUCAAGCUCAGCUUGGUGUUGGGACUCGCGGUAACCCGCGUUCCCCAAAUCGAUUGGCGGUCACGUCGAGCUUCCAUAGCGUAGUAAUCAUACACCUCGUUACUGGUAAUCGUCGCGGCCACGCCGUUAAACCCCAACUUCUGAAUGUUGACCUCGGAUCAGGUAGGAAUACCCGCUGAACUUAAGCAUAUCAAUA